GCCACCAUGAGCACCAAGCAGGUCGCUUGCAGGUAUUUUAUGCAUGGUGGGUGUCGGAAAGGAAGUCAGUGCCUGUUCUCACAUGACUUGGCCAACAGCAAGCCGUCCACCAUCUGCAAGUACUAUCAGAAGGGCCACUGUGCCUAUGGAACUCGCUGCAGAUAUGACCACACGAGGCCCUCUGCUGCAGCUGGAGGUGCUGUCGGCACCAUGGCCCACAGUGUGCCCUCCCCAGCUUUCCACAAUCCUCACCCUCCUUCUGAGGUCACUGCGUCCAUUGUGAAAACUAACUCACAUGAACCCGGGAAGCGUGAAAAGAGAACAUUGGUUCUUAGAGACCGAAAUCUCUCUGGCAUGGCUGAAGGAAAGACUCAGCCGAGCAUGGUGAGUAAUCCAGGCAGCUGCAGCGACCCCCAACCCAGCCCCGAGAUGAAGCCGCAUUCCUACCUGGAUGCCAUCAGGAGUGGCCUUGAUGACGUGGAGGCCAGCAGCUCCUACAGCAACGAGCAGCAGCUGUGCCCCUACGCAGCUGCUGGGGAGUGCCGGUUUGGGGAUGCCUGUGUCUACCUGCAUGGGGAGGUGUGUGAAAUCUGUAGGCUGCGAGUCUUGCACCCCUUCGACCCAGAGCAGAGGAAGGCUCACAAAAAGAUCUGCAUGUUGACAUUCGAACACGAGAUGGAAAAGGCCUUUGCCUUCCAGGCAAGCCAGGACAAAGUGUGCAGCAUCUGCAUGGAAGUGAUCCUGGAGAAAGCCUCUGCUUCCGAGAGGAGAUUUGGGAUUCUCUCCAACUGCAAUCACACGUACUGAUUGUCCUGCAUCCGGCAGUGGCGGUGUGCCAAACAGUUUAAAACCCAAUCAUUAAGUCUUGUCCAGAAUGCCGUGUGAUAUCAGAGUUUGUAAUUCUAAGUGUGUAUUGGGUGGAAGAUCAGAAUAAAAAGAACGAGUUGAUUGAAGCUUUCAAACCGGCGAUAGGGAAAAAAAGCCUGUAAAUACUUUGAGCAAGGCAAGGGGACCUGCCCAUUUGGAAGCAAAUGUCUUUAUCGCCAUGCUUACCCUGAUGGGCGGCUAGAAGAGCCUGAAAAACUUUGGAAGCAGCUCAGUUCUCAAGGCUCUGUGAGGUUCUUUAAUUCAGUGCGGCUCUGGGAUUUCAUCGAGAACCGAGAAAGCCGGCAUGUCCCCAACAAUGAAGAUGUCGACAUGACAGAGCUCGGGGACCUCUUCAUGCACCUUUCUGGAGUGGAGUCAUCAGAACCUUAAAGAGUAGAUGGUUGCCCUGCAUCUUGGGCUCCAUCAGCCAAAACUUUCCCAAGCCAGGGUGUGCAGAGCUUCCCUGUACUGCAGCCAAGGUGGUGUAUGGCUUGGAUUUGAGUGGAGUUGGGCUUAGCCUUAGUCUCAUUCACUCUCCAUUAUUACAGCCAUGGGGAAGAGUGAAGGAUACAAAGUAACCUAAUAAGUGUAUGGA